rnacentral:rRNA from 1 species
AACGAACGCUGGCGGCAUGCCUAACACAUGCAAGUCGAACGAGACCUUCGGGUCUAGUGGCGCACGGGUGCGUAACGCGUGGGAACCUGCCCUUAGGUUCGGAAUAACUCCCCGAAAGGGGUGCUAAUACCGGAUAAUGUCUUCGGACCAAAGAUUUAUCGCCUUUGGAUGGGCCCGCGUUGGAUUAGCUAGUUGGUAGGGUAAAAGCCUACCAAGGCGACGAUCCAUAGCUGGUCUGAGAGGAUGAUCAGCCACACUGGGACUGAGACACGGCCCAGACUCCUACGGGAGGCAGCAGUGGGGAAUAUUGGACAAUGGGCGAAAGCCUGAUCCAGCAAUGCCGCGUGAGUGAUGAAGGCCUUAGGGUUGUAAAGCUCUUUUACCCGGGAUGAUAAUGACAGUACCGAGAGAAUAAGCUCCGGCUAACUCCGUGC